rnacentral:rRNA from 1 species
UACGUAGGGUCCGAGCGUUGUCCGGAAUUACUGGGCGUAAAGAGCUCGUAGGUGGUUUGUCGCGUUGUUCGUGAAAACUCACAGCUCAACUGUGGGCGUGCGGGCGAUACGGGCAGACUAGAGUACUGCAGGGGAGACUGGAAUUCCUGGUGUAGCGGUGGAAUGCGCAGAUAUCAGGAGGAACACCGGUGGCGGAAGGCGGGUCU